GCCUUUAAAGCUUUUAUGAAGCAUUAGUUUUGUAAUCUAAAGAAAAGUUUUUACUUUAAAGGUU
rnacentral:tRNA from 1 species